CUCAACCUGGGAACUGCAUUCGAAACUGGCAGGGUGUAGUCUUGUAGAGGGGGGUAGAAAUCCAGGUGUAGCGGUGAAAUGCGUAGAGAUCUGGAGGAAUACCGGUGGUGAAGGCGCCCCCCUGGACAAAGACUGACGCUCAGGUGCGAAAGCGUGGGGAGCUAAACAGGAUUAGAUACCCUGGUAGUCCACCGCCGUCAACGAUGUCGAUUUGGAGGUUGUGCCCUUGAGGCGUGGCUUCCGGAGCUAACGCGUUAAAUCGUCCGCCUGGGGAGUACGGCCGCAAGGUUAAAAACUCAAAUGAAUUGACGGGGGCCCGCACAAGCGGUGGAGCAUGUGGUUUAAUUCGAUGCAACGCGAAGAACCUUACCUGGUCUUGACAUCCACAGAACUUUCCAGAGAUGGAUUGGUGCCUUCGGGAACUGUGAGACAGGUGCUGCAUGGCUGUCGUCAGCUCGUGUUGUGAAAUGUUGGGUUAAGUCCCGCAACGAGCGCAACCCUUAUCCUUUGUUGCCAGCGGUUAGGCCGGGAACUCAAAGGAGACUGCCAGUGAUAACUGGAGGAAGGUGGGGAUGACGUCAAGUCAUCAUGGCCCUUACGACCAGGGCUACACACGUGCUACAAUGGCGCAUACAAAGAGAAGCGACCUCGCGAGAGCAAACGGACCUCAUAAAGUGCGUAGUAGUCCGGAUUGGAGUAUGCAACUAGACUCCAUGAAGUCGGAAUCGAUAGUAAUAGUAGAUCAAAAUAAAACGGUAAUACGUUCCCGGGCCUUGAACACACCGCCCGUCACACCAUGGAAGUGGGUUGCAAAAGAAGUAGGUAGAAAACAAAAGGAAGAAAGAACCUAUAGA
rnacentral:rRNA from 1 species